rnacentral:rRNA from 1 species
GACGAACGCUGGCGGCGUGCCUAAUACAUGCAAGUCGAGCGAGCGGAACUAACAGAUUUACUUCGGUAAUGACGUUAGGAAAGCGAGCGGCGGAUGGGUGAGUAACACGUGGGGAACCUGCCCCAUAGUCUGGGAUACCACUUGGAAACAGGUGCUAAUACCGGAUAAGAAAGCAGAUCGCAUGAUCAGCUUUUAAAAGGCGGCGUAAGCUGUCGCUAUGGGAUGGCCCCGCGGUGCAUUAGCUAGUUGGUAAGGUAAAGGCUUACCAAGGCGAUGAUGCAUAGCCGAGUUGAGAGACUGAUCGGCCACAUUGGGACUGAGACACGGCCCAAACUCCUACGGGAGGCAGCAGUAGGGAAUCUUCCACAAUGGACGCAAGUCUGAUGGAGCAACGCCGCGUGAGUGAAGAAGGUUUUCGGAUCGUAAAGCUCUGUUGUUGGUGAAGAAGGAUAGAGGUAGUAACUGGCCUUUAUUUGACGGUAAUCAACCAGAAAGUCACGGCUAACUACGUGCCAGCAGCCGCGGUAAUACGUAGGUGGCAAGCGUUGUCCGGAUUUAUUGGGCGUAAAGCGAGCGCAGGCGGAAGAAUAAGUCUGAUGUGAAAGCCCUCGGCUUAACCGAGGAACUGCAUCGGAAACUGUUUUUCUUGAGUGCAGAAGAGGAGAGUGGAACUCCAUGUGUAGCGGUGGAAUGCGUAGAUAUAUGGAAGAACACCAGUGGCGAAGGCGGCUCUCUGGUCUGCAACUGACGCUGAGGCUCGAAAGCAUGGGUAGCGAACAGGAUUAGAUACCCUGGUAGUCCAUGCCGUAAACGAUGAGUGCUAAGUGUUGGGAGGUUUCCGCCUCUCAGUGCUGCAGCUAACGCAUUAAGCACUCCGCCUGGGGAGUACGACCGCAAGGUUGAAACUCAAAGGAAUUGACGGGGGCCCGCACAAGCGGUGGAGCAUGUGGUUYAAUUCGAAGCAACGCGAAGAACCUUACCAGGUCUUGACAUCUAGUGCCAUUUGUAGAGAUACAAAGUUCCCUUCGGGGACGCUGAGACAGGGUGGUGCAUGGCUGUCGUCAGCUCGUGUCGUGAGAUGUUGGGUUAAGUCCCGCAACGAGCGCAACCCUUGUCAUUAGUUGCCAUCAUUAAGUUGGGCACUCUAAUGAGACUGCCGGUGACAAACCGGAGGAAGGUGGGGAUGACGUCAAGUCAUCAUGCCCCUUAUGACCUGNGCUACACACGUGCUACAAUGGACGGUACAACGAGAAGCGAACCUGCGAAGGCAAGCGGAUCUCUUAAAGCCGUUCUCAGUUCGGACUGUAGGCUGCAACUCGCCUACACGAAGCUGGAAUCGCUAGUAAUCGCGGAUCAGCACGCCGCGGUGAAUACGUUCCCGGGCCUUGUACACACCGCCCGUCACACCAUGGAAGUCUGCAAUGCCCAAAGCCGGUGGCCUAACCUUCGGGAAGGAGCCGUCUAAGGCAGGGCAGAUGACUGGGGUG